GGAGCCCCAUCCCCAUCCCCGUCCACCUCUGAGUCCUGCAGCACCUGAGCGAUGUAUUUCUGAAGGAGGAGAGGAAAUGGGGGCAAGGUGCUACAGACUGGCCCCAGCCUCUCCCAGGCCCCUUGCCUGCCACCCCCAGCCAUGCGGCUUCUCCUGUGGCCUGCUCUGGCUGGAAUCCACUCUGCUCGCCACCCCCCGUUCCCUGGGUAGGGAUCCCUCACCCGUGCGCAUGGUGGAAAAGAAGAGCAGCCAGAAGAGGCAGAGGAUGGGCGCGGCCACCACCUGGUUCACAGCCCCCGAGUGGAUCUUCUUGUCCAGCUUGGCCGGCAGGUUGUUCUGGUCCUGAGAGUGCUGAAGGGUUGGCCCCCUCCUCCUGCCCGGGCCCCAGGACGGGAUAGUGCCCCGUGCCCCAGCGUGAUCACAGAACUUCAGCUUCCUCCGCUACAACCCCUCAUUCUACUCUCCUCAUCAGGAAUUCUACUAUUGGAAAUCUAGUCAUUUGAAUCAACAAGCAUCUUCUUAAAACCCGUAUCAUUUUUCUCUAACCCUGUCCCUAAACAGAUACGUAUAAAUUAAGGGACAAGUUCUAUUUCCCCAGAGGCUGAGGGAUAGGGAGUUUCUAAUGAGGACAAGGAAGUUAGUUUGGGAACUUGGAGCCUUCAAUAACCAGGGAGGGUUGGUUAAGGAGUUAGGAUGUUAUUAGGGAGGAAAGUAGAGGCUACCAGUGGGGGUGAU
rnacentral:lncRNA from 1 species